CUCCUGCCGAGGCUUUUGUUCCCCUGGUGAUAUAAACAGUAUCACCUCGGUAACAAGCGUCUCUGAUCCUAAAAUAACUGGCCUGUGAUUACAGCUCAGUGCUAGAUUUCCUCUGGAUUAGUAUGACUCCGCUGGCCUGGCCAGAGAAUAGUAACAUCCCAUCUCUCUCUCUUUUCUCUAUCCUUCUCUCUCUUUCUCUAUCUCUCUCUCUUUCUCUCUCUCCCUCUUUCUCUCGCACUCAGGGUUCAAGCGGAAGGAGUUCCGUGGUAAGCUGGCUAUCGCCAUCACGGCCAACUUUGUCAACAGGAACACCACGGCCGAGGCCAAAGUGGAGGAGAUCAGCGGUGUGGCCUUCAUCUUUAACCAGAAGUUCUUCCUGGACCUCAAAGAGGAGACAGGUAUUGACCUGGAGAACAUUGUGUACUACAAGGACAACACACACUACUUUGUCAUGCCAGCCAAGAGCAGUAGCCACUGGACAAGGGUGUCAUCAUUCAUGUGAGCAAACAU
ensembl:lncRNA